rnacentral:misc_RNA from 1 species
AUAACAAAAAUGUACUCGUUAUUCUUUUAUUUUCCUAAGUGCAUAAAUAAGUAAAAAAGUUGUAAUUUUAGAGCAUUAUUCUAACUUGACAAUCAACCUAGUAUCCAAACAUUAAACAGAUUUUUCUUUUCACGUGAAUAUUCUAUGAGUAAGGAUUAAGAUGUCUGCAAAAGAUAAGCGAAAGCGCUGAAAGGAAUCAUUGCACGCGGUGAACUUAUUAUUAAGUGUCUCGAACCGGAAUGAGCAAUUUGAAAAGUCUGAAAGAAAGAUGAGAACGAGAGAAAGACCAAAAGAUUAUCCGUGCAAUCCCGACGAUUCUCGAUAGGACUUAGAACGAUCCUUAUAACGUCGAAUGAAAAGAUAAAUGAACUUCUAGGGAAGGAAGAUGAAAUAGUGAAACGAUUGGACGGCAGUCUAGCGAGUGAAAUCAAUGAGCUAAUAGGCUUGCUUGGAGUUAAACAGCUAAUCAAGUCGGUAUUAUUGGAUCAUGGAAGCCAAGCAUCGCGUUCGCAUCCCUCGCACAUUGCAAACGUCACCCCACACAAAUGCGUCGUAGCACACUUAGUCGUGACUGGCACUGCAAGGGUUGAACGCCGCGGGGCCUGCACGACCUGUGUUUUAAUUAGAGGCGAAUUCCGUCGCGCGGGACAACUCGAGAGAACGGCGUCUCUUACGUAAUAUAUUUCAGGCGGUAAACGCUAUUUAUCUGCAAAAUGAAUGAUUUCGAUUAUGGAAACCAGCGAGAAAGUAACGAUUGGCAUGUCCAAAAUGAACAAAGAGAAAUGAAAAAUCGGGGUAAGACUGAGAACACAGGAUCUGUAACUCUUAAACGAUUGGACAGCAUUCAGGAUCCAGGAAAAAGAUACGCACUGAAGGAUUACAUUGGUAGCGGUGUAUACGGCAAUGUUUACGAAGGAAUUGAUCAGCAAGCUGGAAAUAAGAAGGUUGCCAUUAAAAUUCAAACUCUCACGCCGGAAACGCAAUCCCUGAUUGUGGAAGAAUAUCGUAUUCUUCGUGAUUUCGCCGGUCACCCAAAUCUACCAGAUUUCUACGGGGUAUAUCGCAAACGAUCGGCGAAGAAAUCUGAUUACGAUGAAAUGUGGUUCAUCAUGGAGCUCUGCGAAGGUGGAACAGUCAUGGAUCUCAUUCAUGGCAUAAUUGCAAGCGACAAAAGAAUACAGGAAGAACAUAUUGCCUUCAUCUUAAGAGAAGUGAUCAAAGCCCUGAUCCACUUGCAUGAACACAACAUAAUUCACAGAGACAUCCGCGGCAACAAUAUUGUUCUAACGAAGGAAGGCGAAGUGAAACUAGUGGACUUUGGACUGUCGAGAACAAUGAAGGACGAACUCGAGAAAAGACACAGCUACAUAGGCUCGCCGUCCUGGAUGGCGCCGGAAAUGAUCGGCAGCAAGGAUAGCGAAGCCGACAAUGGAUACGACAGCCGGGUCGACGUAUGGGCGAUCGGCAUCACGGCGAUAGAGCUGGCCGAUGGCAAAGCGCCGUUCGAGGACAUGCAUCCGACUCGUGCGCUCUUCCAGAUCGUUCGGAAUCCACCCCCGACUCUUUACCGACCCGCCAACUGGUCGAAGAAUUUCAAUGACUUCAUUUCGGAAUGCCUCGAAAAGAAUCCCGAGAACAGACCGUACAUGAUGGAGAUCAUCGAGCAUCCCUUUCUGUCGGAGCUACCUGAAAACGAUUAUACCUUGACGCAAGAGAUCAAAACGCUAGCAAUGGAUCUGUCGGAAAAGGGCAGAAAACAUAGAAAAGCCGAAUCAGUAGUUCGUAAAGGUUUUCUAAAGACUCGUCAGGAAGAAUCAGCGAAGCAAAUGUUCAUGGAGGAUUUAGCGGCACUAGAUGACUUGACUGAGGACGUGAUCCUGGACGAACUUUGGGAGAGAUUAAGACGCGGUGAAUAUCACACGUUUAUCGGCGACAUCUUACUGAUACUCAACCCGAACGAAGAGCACGAUAUUUACAAUUUUCACCAUCACGCAAAGUAUCAAUGUAAAUCGCGAUCGGAUAAUGCCCCUCAUAUCUAUUCCGUGGCGGAUAGCGCGUUUCAAGAUGUUAUGCUAAACGAAGAAUCUCAGCACAUUUUGUUGGCCGGUGAAAGUAAUUCCGGAAAAACGACAAAUAUGCUGCAUCUAGUGGAGCAUCUUAUGUUCCUCGGAAAAGGUCUGCACGAUACCGGAGUGAAAGUGCUAAAAGCUAUAAAAAUUAUUCAUGCUUUUACAAACGCGGCGACACCGCUAAAUGCUAAUUCCACCAGAUGUAUAUUGCAAACACAGACGACUUUCGGGUCAACCGGCAAAGUAUCGGGUGCAAUAUUCUGGCUAUAUCAGUUGGAAAAAUGGCGCGUUUCAACUCGCGACAGAAAUCAAUCAAACUUCCAUAUUUUUUAUUAUUUUUAUGAUGGUUUUGAAGCAUCAGAAAAUUUAAAAACAUUUUUCCUACCAAGCGGGAGAAAACUUCGAUAUCUCAGAAUAACCGACAAAAGUACUGAAAAGAAACGAGCGUUCAAAGUGAGAAACGAUCCGCAAAACAACGCGAUUAAACUCAAAGAACUUAGGGAAUGUUUCAAGUUUAUGGAUAUGGAGGAGCAUUGUGAAAUUAUUUGGAAAAUUCUCGCAGCUGUACUGAUACUCGGAGAGGUUCGGUUCGUUGAAGGCAAUAACGGGGAAGCCGAGUUGUAUAAUGACGAAAUUGCUAACAAAGUGGCGGAACUUCUCGGUUUAGACGCGAAGAAAUUUACUUGGGCUCUCAUUAAUUACUGCUUGAUCGUGAAGGGAUCAGCGACACGUAGGAAACAUACUUGCGAAGAAGCGAAAGAGGCACGGGAUGUCUUGGCAAACACUCUUUACCAGCGUUUAGUAGACUGGAUAAUUAAUAUGAUCAAUUAUAAGCUUUCAAUGACACGUGGUCUUUAUGGUGAUAAAUAUUCUAUCAGCAUUUUUGAUCACUUUGGACUUGAAUGUUUCUCAGCAAACAGGCUGGAACAAUUACUAGUGAAUACAAUAAAUGAGCAAAUGCAAUAUUAUUAUAAUCAAAGAGUAUUCGGCUGGGAAAUGCAAGAACAAGAAGAGGAUGAUAUACCUGUGCAACGAUUACGCUUUUAUGAUAAUAAGGAAGCGAUUGAUCAACUAAUGAGCAAAGAAGAUGGCCUCUUUCAUAUCAUUGACGACGCUUCGCGACAAAUGCAAGACGCUCAGUAUAUUCUCGAGAGGAUUAAAGAACAUAAACGUGGCAUUUAUGUGAAACCGGUGAGUUCACACGAAUUCACGGUCGCACAUUAUACCGGUAAGCUGAUAUACGACGCCAGCGAAAUUGCUACGAAAAAUCGAGACUUUGUGCCGCCGGAGAUGAUCGGCACGAUGAGAUUUUCAUCGCACGAUACAGUCAAACAGAUGUUCAUCAACAAGCUAACCAAAUCAGGAAAUCUGACGAUCGUUCGGGAAGAUUGUUGUCUCGCGGCGAAGGAAACGACGAAAAAAAAGUGGAGUGCUCUCAUGCAGGAAUCUUCUACGUUUCGAAAAUAUAACACUGCGUCCAGAGGACAAUACUCGCAGUCACGCAAGAUGCGAACGUGCUCGUCGACAUUCAAAGCGACGAGUCUCGAAAUUUUGAAAAAUCUCGCGACAGGCACGGGAAAUAGCGGCACGCAUUUUGUUAGGUGCAUACGCUCCGACCUCGAGGAUGUUCCUCGCAGCUUUUACCGGGAAGUCGUCAGACAGCAAAUCAGAGCGCUAGCAGUUCUUGAUACAGCGAAAGCCAGACGACUCGGGUACCCGUAUAGAAUACCCUUCCAAGAAUUUCUUCGAAGAUACAAGUUUCUAGCCUUCGAUUUUGACGAGACAGUAGAGAUGACGAAAGAUAAUUGCAGACUACUUUUAAUCAGAUUAAAAAUGGAAGGCUGGAUUAUCGGCAAGACCAAAGUCUUCUUGAAAUAUUACAAUCAGGAAUAUCUAUCGCGUUUAUAUGAAACUCAAGUAAAAAAAAUUAUAAAAGUGCAGUGCAUGAUGCGUGCCUUUCUAGCACGCAAAAACAUUGCUUCGAAGAUCACUCAUAUCAAAAAAGAAAUGAUCAAGAAAGCAUCAAUUAAGAAGAAUAAUUCAAUUACUGAGGAAGAAGCGGCAUUAAUGAUACAAAAAACAUACAGAGGACAUAUGGUAAGAAAGGGAACCGAAUCUUUACACAAGGAAGAGAUGAGCGAAGAAACGAAGAAUUUUAUCAAGUUGUAUUGCAACAAAUGGAGAUUAAAAAGCAUGUUCCAAGUCCUUUUACAGUACCGUGCAGCCCGAUAUCAAGAUUUUGUCCAAUUAUCGCAACAGGUCCAUUUAUACAGUCAAUCAAUAGUAGCAGCUUUGGAGAAAAUAAAUGAAAAUGUGUUUCUUGAGAAAAUCGACCCAAAUGCCAAAAUAAAUACCUACAUAAGUGAAAUAAGACCACCUCAAGUCUACAAGCUACCUUUCAAUAUACAACAAGAGUUUCCGUAUUUCGAUAUGAAUUAUGUAAAUGAUCCUUCAAAUAUAAAAAUUAAACGUGCAGGUAGAUCUAUAUCAUCUACAUUAAGUGACGACGAAUCCUGGGAUGCGCCGUUACGUAGACAAACCGUGCCCUGGGCCAACAAAAAUGUUCACACCAGAGACGUCGAGGUUCAAACAACAAACUCGCCACAUCACGUGUCCCUUCAUCGUUCAACUGUCAAUAAUGAGCAAAGUUUAAUCAACACUCCAUUCACCAGGGAUCCAAGCAUUCCGAUUCAGUGUCCACCGGAGGAGCCAUCCCGCCGUAGCGUUCCUGAUUUUCAAUCAAAUAAACAUGACACCACACAAUUCUCUGGAUUCUGUACUCCUUAUUCUGUAAGCAAUGAAAAAAGUAUCAUCGCCACCAGCCGCAUCCAAUCAAACGCAAUCCUCGUCAAUGUGCAACUACGAGUUAAAUAUUCAAAACAGAAAUAAUACAGAACGGAAGUUUGAGAACAGAGUUAAUAAUCAUAUUAACAGUGACAAUCGCGUAAACCCUAUCAAAGAAUUGGAAAUGAUCGGACGUAGGAACAAUAACGAUGAAAAUGAUGAUACACCUCCAUUCAAUUUUCA